AACGGUUUUAUUGACCCGCAGAGAAAAAGGAGCAGUCAGAAAAAUGAUCCAACAUUUUCAAAAAACAAGGCAGAGCAGAAUCUUUUUGUUUGUCAUGCCGAAAUGAAUGCUGUUAUAAAUAGACAUGGGACAAGUUUAAAAGACUGUAUCGUGUAUGUUACACUGUUUCCAUGUAAUGAAUGUGCCAAACUGCUCGCCCAAUCAAGGAUAAGUAAAGUGAUUUACUAUGCCAAUGACAAAGCUGAAACACCAAAAUACAAGGCAUCUGCAAAAAUACUAAAAUUUGCCGGAAUAAAAUUACAAUGUUACAAACGACUCAAACGUGAAGACAGAGCUCCUGUGCGGAAAAAGAUCAUGCUUGAUUUUGAAAAGAUUGCUUUUCAGAGGACCUAAAAAAAUGAAUUUCAGACGUCUGCGUAUAUUUUUACUUUCUCUUACCUGAUGGUUUUAAAUAUGUGAUAUGUGUUCCUAACGUAAACAAGUCGUGUGGAUUAUUUUCACUCUAAAAAUUCUAGGAGUACUUAAAAAGAAACUUAC